UAAUAAUAAUAAUAAAAGAAAUAAAUUAACCACAUAAUAAAAGUAGAAUUUCACAGCAACACCCAUAAAACAGAACUUAAGGUAGAAAUGAUGGAGUGACCUUAAGAACAGAUUCUUGGACCUAGGGAUGAAAUCUGAUUUUAGGGUGUUCGGAAGGGUGUUUCAAGAAAGGAUACACUGGUUAUGACCAUGUUGUUGAUACCAGACGAAUGAACAAAUUAAGAACUGAAUUAAGUCGUAGAAACAAAGAAUUUUGGAUGUCACUUGGAAAACUUCUUGGGCAGAAACUUCUUCGGGCAUUUAUAUAAAUGAAACUCCAGGACAUUUCAAGAUUCAAUUCACAUUUUUCAGGAGAUUGUAUCAUAAAAUCAACAACAGGUAUGCCAUGAGAAAAUGGAACAUAUUUUCCUAAUUUUAACACAAUGUUUCAGAUUUUUCUUUUUGAUAAUAAAUAUUAACAAUGUU